GCCUUUUAUACACACGGCUGAACUUACAAAUUAUGAGUAUGACCAUUUUGCUGGAGGCGCCAUAUUUCUGUACAUCAGGUUAGUUCCCUUUCCCUUAAUACUUCCACUGUUCUAGGGCACUUUUUACACUUAUGAGCCUGUGACUAAAAUGUAACUGCCAUUUUUGGCUUUUAAUUUUAAGUGCUUUAGCCAAUAGUGUGCUUGAUAAACCUGUCCAUGUAUUUUUCCCCCCCAUAUUUUCUUUAUUUAAUUCCCAUUAUAAAAAUAAAAAAUGGCAUUUUUUGUUUCAAGAUUUCCA
rnacentral:misc_RNA from 1 species